GUGGGGAAUAUUGGACAAUGGGGGGAACCCUGAUCCAGCCAUGCCGCGUGUGUGAAGAAGGCCUUUUGGUUGUAAAGCACUUUAAGCGAGGAGGAGGCUACCGAGAUUAAUACUCUUGGAUAGUGGACGUUACUCGCAGAAUAAGCACCGGCUAACUCUGUGCCAGCAGCCGCGGUAAUACAGAGGGUGCAAGCGUUAAUCGGAUUUACUGGGCGUAAAGCGCGCGUAGGUGGCCAAUUAAGUCAAAUGUGAAAUCCCCGAGCUUAACUUGGGAAUUGCAUUCGAUACUGGUUAGCUAGAGUAUGGGAGAGGAUGGUAGAAUUCCAGGUGUAGCGGUGAAAUGCGUAGAGAUCUGGAGGAAUACCGAUGGCGAAGGCAGCCAUCUGGCCUAAUACUGACACUGAGGUGCGAAAGCAUGGGGAGCAAACAGGAUUAGAAACCCUAGUAGUCC
rnacentral:rRNA from 1 species